AUGAUGCUGAUAAAAAAUCUGGAGGCGGUGAUGCAUGAUGCUGAUAAUAAGGUGAGCCAAGGAGGAAUUGCUGGAGAACAAGUUGGGCGGUGGCUCCUGAAGUUAAAAUCCGUUGCCUACGACGUUGAGGACCUGCUGGACGACUUGGAUACUAAGAAUAACGAAGCAAAGCUCAAGGCAUUCUUUUCCCGGGACAAUCCAGCCUACCGGUGGAUAACCAGACCCCACAAUUUGGUGGAUGUGAGGAAGAGAAUAGAAGAAAUAGAAAAUGAGGGCAGGGUGUUCAAUCUGGUUCCUCAAGAGCAGGUAGAAAGGAGCAGAAAAAAUGAGACUUUUGCAGCCAGCAGCGACAGAGGCACGUCAACUGGAAUGCAAGGGAGGAGUGCAGAAAAGGAAAAAUUAAUAGGCCUGAUAUUGAGAAGUGAAGCUAAUGUGCAUACCUCCAUCAUUCCAGUUGUGGGGCUUGGUGGUAUAGGAAAGACCACAUUGGCUCAAUCAGUUUAUGCAGACAAGAGGGUCGACAUCUUCAACAUCAGAGCUUGGGUUCAUGUAUCUGAAAAGUUUGAUUUACUCAAAAUUAUGAGGGCCAUCAUCAAAAGCGUAGAUGCCAAAAUCAACCUUGACAAUGUUACUUUGCAGUUUCUACAGGAUUGUCUUCAAGACAAACUUGCUGAUAAAAGGUACCUGAUUGUUUUGGAUGAUUUCUGGGAAGAAGGGAGGGAUAACCUGGAAUAG
rnacentral:rRNA from 1 species